UAGCCAGCAGUUAAUUGCACGUUCAGCG
rnacentral:sRNA from 1 species